rnacentral:rRNA from 1 species
UCGGACGGGUGAGUAACGCGUGAGAAUCGGCCCUCAGGUUGGGGACAACCAUUGGAAACGAUGGCUAAUACCGAAUAAGCCGAAAGGUGAAAGAUUUAUUGCCUGGGGAAGAGCUCGCGUCUGAUUAGCUAGUUGGUGGGGUAAAGGCCUACCAAGGCACCGAUCAGUAACUGGUCUGAGAGGAUGGCCAGUCACACUGGGACUGAGACACGGCCCAGACUCCUACGGGAGGCAGCAGUGGGGAAUUUUCCGCAAUGGGCGAAAGCCUGACGGAGCAAUACCGCGUGGGGGAGGAAGGCUCUUGGGUCGUAAACCUCUUUUCUCAGGGAAGAAAUAAAUGACGGUACCUGAGGAAUCAGCAUCGGCUAACUCCGCGCCAGCAGCCGCGGUAAUACGGAGGAUGCAAGCGUUAUCCGGAAUGAUUGGGCGUAAAGCGUCCGCAGGUGGCAGUGUAAGUCUGCUGUCAAAGGUCAGGGCUUAACCCUGAACAGGCAGUGGAAACUACACAGCUAGAGUGCGGUGGGGGCAGAGGGAAUUCCCAGUGUAGCGGUGAAAUGCGUAGAGAUUGGGAAGAACACCGGUGGCGAAAGCGCUCUGCUAGGCCGCAACUGACGCUCAUGGACGAAAGCUAGGGGAGCGAAUGGGAUUAGAUACCCCAGUAGUC